CCUACGGGUGGCAGCAGUGGGGGAUAUUGCACAAUGGGGGAAACCCUGAUGCAGCGACGCCGCGUGAGUGAAGAAGUAUUUCGGUAUGUAAAGCUCUAUCAGCAGGGAAGAAAAUGACAGUACCUGACCAAGAAGCCCCUGCUAACUACGUGCCAGCAGCCGCGGUAAUACGUAGGGGGCAAGCGCUAUCCGGAUGUACUGGGUGUAAAGGUAGCGUAGACGGUUAUGUAAGUCUGGAGUGAAAGCCGGGGGCCCAACCCCGGGACUGCUUUUGAAACUGUGUAACUGGAGUGCGGGAGGGGAAGGCGGAAUUCCUGGUGUAGGGGUGAAAUGCGUAGAUAUCAGGAGGAACACCAGCGGCGAAGGCGACCUGCUGGA
rnacentral:rRNA from 1 species